CCUACGGGUGGCUGCAGUGAGGAAUAUUUGUCAAUGGGAGGAAUCCUGAACCAGCCAUGCCGCGUGCAGGACUACGGCUCUACGAGUUGUAAACUGCUUUUGUACCGGGGUAAAAUGCCUUACGUGUAGGGUUUUGAAAGUACGGUACGAAUAAGGAUCGGCUAACUCCGUUCCAGCAGCCGCGGUAAUACGGAGGAUCCGAGCGUUGUCCUGAUUCGUUGGGUUUAAAGGGUGCGUAGGUUGUUUUAUAAGUUAGCGGUGAAAUACCGAUGCUCAACAUCGGGGCUGCCGCUAAUACUGUAGGAGUAGAGAUCGGAUGCAGCAGGCGGAAUGUGUAGUGUAGCGGUGAAAUGCAUAGAUAUUACACAGAACACCGAUUGCGAAGGCAGCUUGCUAGGCCGGAUCUGACACUGAUGCACGAAGGCGUGGGGAUCGAACAGGAUUAGAUACCCCUGUAGUC
rnacentral:rRNA from 1 species